CUAAAUACAGGCUGAAAAAUAGUAGUUACCCAUAAACCCAUCCUCUCCGGUAGAAAAAUGAGUGGGAUUGUGAUGAAUUAGUGUGGGUUCCUAAAACAAAGUGAUUUGUACAUAACAAUAAUACAAGUAUGAAAACGGGUCUGACCAAUACUUUACAUCUUGUACCAAAGCCAGAGAACUACAGCAUAACUCUUCUGUGUUCUGGUAAUGGAGUCCUGAGGACUUGGCUGGUGGUCUCUGCAAUCCUGUAACUGAGCUUUGGGCCGCACUGCAUUGCUCACUGGACCAAUCCACCACUUCAUGCUUAUCUAUGAUCUGGGGUUACUGGCAGUGGCCACAUCCUGAUUGCUGGUAUUUUGAUGGCUGCACCUCCAAAGAGAGAAAGUGUGGAGGUUACCUGUGUCAGGGCCACGAGGCUGGAAGGAGCUGGCAAUUUGCUUAGAGAAUGCUUACCUAUAAAGGUAAGUCUCUUGGGUCUCAUCAGGAGAAUACUUCUUGCACGUGCAUAUUUUUCUAUGUAAAUGUCUGCCAGUUUUGAAAGUUUAUUCAAUCACACCACUUUGUAAGUAAAGUGAUUACAACAGGCACUGUUACAGAGAAAGUGUUUCUUUUCCUUUUGUCCCAUGGAGAAGCUUCUCCCUGAAAAUGC
rnacentral:lncRNA from 1 species